AUUGAACGCUGGCGGAAUGCUUUACACAUGCAAGUCGAACGGCAGCACGGACUUCGGUCUGGUGGCGAGUGGCGAACGGGUGAGUAAUACAUCGGAACGUGCCCAGUCGUGGGGGAUAACGUAGCGAAAGCUACGCUAAUACCGCAUACGAUCUAAGGAUGAAAGCGGGGGAUCGCAAGACCUCGCGCGAUUGGAGCGGCCGAUGGCAGAUUAGGUAGUUGGUAGGGUAAAGGCCUACCAAGCCGACGAUCUGUAGCUGGUCUGAGAGGAUGAUCAGCCACCAUGGGACUGGCACACGGGCCAGACUCCUACGGGAGGCAGCAGUGGGGAACUUUGGACAAUGGGCGCAAGCCUGAUCCAGCCAUUCCGCGUGCAGGAUGAAGGCCUUCGGGUUGUAAACUGCUUUUGUACAGAACGAAAAGGCUCUGGUUAAUACCCGGGGCUCAUGACGGUACUGUAAGAAUAAGCACCGGCUAACUACGUGCCAGCCGCCGCAGUAA
rnacentral:rRNA from 1 species